UACGUAGGGUGCGAGCGUUGUCCGGAAUUAUUGGGCGUAAAGAGCGUGUAGGCGGCCUGGUAGGUCAGCUGUGAAAACUCGAGGCUCAACCUCGAGACGUCGGUUGAAACCACCUGGCUAGAGUCCGGAAGAGGAGAGUGGAAUUCCCGGUGUAGCGGUGAAAUGCGCAGAUAUCGGGAGGAACACCGGUGGCGAAGGCGGGUCUCUGGGCCGAUACUGACGCUGAGGAGCGAAAGCGUGGGGAGCGAACAGG
rnacentral:rRNA from 1 species